UACAGAGGGUGCGAGCGUUAAUCGGAAUUACUGGGCGUAAAGCGUGCGUAGACGGUAGCGUAAGUCAGAUGUGAAAGCCCCGGGCUCAACCUGGGAAUUGCAUUUGAGACUGCUCUGCUCGGGUGCGGAAGAGGGAAGCGGAAUUUCCGGUGUAGCGGUGAAAUGCGUAGAGAUCGGAAAGAACACCAACGGCGAAAGCACUCUGCUGGGCCGACACUGACACUGAGAGACGAAAGCUAGGGGAGCGAAUGGG
rnacentral:rRNA from 1 species